GUAGGUGAACCUGCGGAAGGAUCAUUAACACUUGAAUCUCCAACUUACUGGAAUGUUGUUUGUGGCAUCCGUCACAUGCAUUUCAGUAUUUUACACCCCCACACUUGUGAACCUUUGUUUGGAAAUGCUCAUUUGCUUGACCAUUUCCGCAUUUUUUUUUCUUUGCUUGCUAAAACAAAACAAAAAAACCCAAUUGAACUUAAUUUGACUGAAAUCGUUUUUUGUUUGGUCUGCGAAAGCACAUCAACACAAAACAAAAAAAAGAGAAAAUGUGAAAAACAACUCUUAGCAACGGAUAUCUUGGCUCUC
rnacentral:misc_RNA from 1 species